UGUGUCAGAUACACUCACAUUCUACUCCUAAACUGGAAAAAGAAAAGCCGAGAGAAUGUGGCUAUGAAAACAAAGGCGCAGUUUUCCUUUCACACCUCCAUUUGCAAAGAACAAGGAUGGCUCAGUGGGGAUUUUCUGAGUGUGAGUGACUCACUAAAGAGGAGGAAUAAAGAAAUGACUCAACAAAACAAGGAAAAGAUGAUGGUGGGAAGGACUACUGGCUUUUGUAUUUCUGAAGAGGAGAGAGUGAAAGGUACACAGCAGAGUUCAGAAGAAGUUGCAUCCUGGCAAAUGAGUUCAUGAAGAUGGCUGGAUGAAUGGCAGAUUAUACUCUAAUCAACAAUUUCAGUAUCCAGACAAGAGAAAAUCUAAGUGCCUGACUCCAGCAAUUAUUACAAAGUUGAAACAGUGUAUGAAAUCUAAUCUUAAUGAAAACUCCUAGAGGGUGAAGUCUUGUGUAUGCCAAGUCCUG
rnacentral:lncRNA from 1 species